rnacentral:rRNA from 1 species
UACGAAGGGGGCUAGCGUUGCUCGGAAUCACUGAGCGUAAAGCGCACGUAGGCGGCUUACUAAGUCAGGGGUGAAAUCCUGGAGCUCAACUCCAGAACUGCCUUUGAUACUGGUGAGCUUGAGUCCGGAAGAGGUGAGUGGAACUGCGAGUGUAGAGGUGAAAUUCGUAGAUAUUAGGAAGAACACCGGUGGCGAAGGCGGCCCACUGGUCCGGUACUGACGCUGAGGUGCGAAAGCGUGGGGAGCAAACAGG